AUAGGAUUUCUAUUGUUAUUUAUCAAGCUCAAGUUUAGAUUAAGAAUAGCUUCUCUAGGUGUUCUUAACUAACAACUAUCAUAUGGAGGUUCAUGCAAAUUGGCAAAGGUAAAUUGUGCAUUGCAUAACAUUGCAUUAUACUGGUUUCAUAAAAUGAUGACUAGUCAUCUGUUCCUUGGAUGACUAGUCAUCCUUGCUCUCCAGCUUGAUAACCAACUUUUUUGUCCUAUUCCUUUU
rnacentral:lncRNA from 1 species